GAUGAACGCUGGCGGCGUGCCUAAUACAUGCAAGUCGAGCGAACGGACGAGAAGCUUGCUUCUCUGAUGUUAGCGGCGGACGGGUGAGUAACACGUGGAUAACCUACCUAUAAGACUGGGAUAACUUCGGGAAACCGGAGCUAAUACCGGAUAAUAUUUUGAACCGCAUGGUUCAAAAGUGAAAGACGGUCUUGCUGUCACUUAUAGAUGGAUCCUCGCUGCAUUAGCUAGUUGGUAAGGUAAUGGCUUACCAAGGCAACGAUGCAUAGCCGACCUGAGAGGGUGAUCGGCCACACUGGAACUGAGACACGGUCCAGACUCCUACGGGAGGCAGCAGUAGGGAAUCUUCCGCAAUGGGCGAAAGCCUGACGGAGCAACGCCGCGUGAGUGAUGAAGGUCUUCGGAUCGUAAAACUCUGUUAUUAGGGAAGAACAUAUGUGUAAGUAACUGUGCACAUCUUGACGGUACCUAAUCAGAAAGCCACGGCUAACUACGUG
rnacentral:rRNA from 1 species